AAUGAACGUUGGCGGCGUGGAUUAGGCAUGCAAGUCGAGCGGGUAUAGCAAUAUAUCAGCGGCGAAAGGGAGAGUAACGCGUAGCUACGUACCCCAGAGACCGGAAUAGCCAGCCGAAAGGCUGGGUAAUGCCGGAUGAUGUCCCUGGACUAAAGGGUGUGAUUCCGCUUUGGGAGCGGGCUGCGUUGUACUAGCUUGUUGGUAGGGUAAUGGCCUACCAAGGCGAUGAUGCAUACCGGGCGUGAGAGCGUGGCCCGGCUCACUGGGACUGAGACACUGCCCAGACACCUACGGGUGGCUGCAGUCGAGAAUCUUCGGCAAUGAGCGCAAGCUUGACCGAGCGACGCCGCGUGCGGGAUGAAGGCCUUCGGGUUGUAAACCGCGAAAGUAGGGAGGAAAUUGCUAGGGGUUC
rnacentral:rRNA from 1 species